ensembl:lncRNA
AAAUAUUUUAUCCCAUCAUUAAAAAUGUCAUGAACAUUCUAGUAUUCUAAUUUCUAAUUCAAUGUGCUUUUCUAUUUUUGAAUGUUGAACAUUGAUUGACAGAUACAUUUUAUUUGUUCUGUAGAGAAGGCCCAUGGAGUUGAUGGAAGAAUCCUUUAAUUCAUGGCCACUUGCUCAGCUGGGCCAGGGGUGCUUUAAUUAGGUCAGGUGGAAAUGGCCGACAGAUCUCAACUUCAUAAAAGGAGGAAAUCGCCAUCACCCGAUCUGGUUGCUUUCUCUUCCUUAGCUCCGUCUAAUCCAGACGGUCUCUGCGUCCAUGAAUCCACCACAGACUACCCAUAAUUGUCACAGAAACAAUUACAUCAGCCUGAACUCCC